rnacentral:rRNA from 1 species
UACGUAGGGUGCGAGCGUUGUCCGGAAUUAUUGGGCGUAAAGAGCUCGUAGGCGGUGUGUCGCGUCGGUCGUGAAAACUUGGGGCUUAACCCUGAGCUUGCGGUCGAUACGGGCAUCACUGGAGUUCGGCAGGGGAGACUGGAAUUCCUGGUGUAGCGGUGAAAUGCGCAGAUAUCAGGAGGAACACCGGUGGCGAAAGCGCUCAUCUGGCCCAAUACUGACGCUGAGGCGCGAAAGCUAGGGGAGCAAACGGG